rnacentral:rRNA from 1 species
GCAUAUCAAUAAGCGGAGGAAAAGAAACCAACAGGGAUUGCCCUAGUAACGGCGAGUGAAGCGGCAACAGCUCAAAUUUGAAAUCUGGCUUCGGCCCGAGUUGUAAUUUGCAGAGGAAGCUUUAGGCGCGGCACCUUCUGAGUCCCCUGGAACGGGGCGCCAUAGAGGGUGAGAGCCCCGUAUAGUUGGAUGCCUAGCCUGUGUAAAGCUCCUUCGACGAGUCGAGUAGUUUGGGAAUGCUGCUCAAAAUGGGAGGUAAAUUUCUUCUAAAGCUAAAUACCGGCCAGAGACCGAUAGCGCACAAGUAGAGUGAUCGAAAGAUGAAAAGCACUUUGAAAAGAGGGUUAAAUAGCACGUGAAAUUGUUGAAAGGGAAGCGCUUGUGACCAGACUUGCGCCGGGCUGAUCAUCCGGUGUUCUCACCGGUGCACUCUGCCCGGCUCAGGCCAGCAUCGGUUCUCGCGGGGGGAUAAAGGCCCAGGGAAUGUAGCUCCUCCGGGAGUGUUAUAGCCCGGGGCGGAAUGCCCUCGCGGGGACCGAGGUUCGCGCUCUGCAAGGAUGCUGGCGUAAUGGUCAUCAGCGACCCGUCUUGAAACACGGACCAAGGAGUCAAGGUUUUGCGCGAGUGUUUGGGUGUAAAACCCGCACGCGUAAUGAAAGUGAACGUAGGUGAGAGCUUCGGCGCAUCAUCGACCGAUCCUGAUGUUUUCGGAUGGAUUUGAGUAAGAGCGUUAAGCCUUGGACCCGAAAGAUGGUGAACUAUGCUUGGAUAGGGUGAAGCCAGAGGAAACUCUGGUGGAGGCUCGCAGCGGUUCUGACGUGCAAAUCGAUCGUCAAAUCUGAGCAUGGGGGCGAAAGACUAAUCGAACCAUCUAGUAGCUGGUUACCGCCGA